GUGGCCGGAUUCGGUGUUGGUUACCGGAAGCAGACUGUGAAUCUGCCCGACAGGGGUUCAAUUCCCCUCGGUCACCC
rnacentral:tRNA from 1 species